GAACGAACGCUGGCGGCAUGCCUAACACAUGCAAGUCGAACGAGAUCUUCGGAUCUAGUGGCGCACGGGUGCGUAACGCGUGGGAAUCUGCCCUUGGGUUCGGAAUAACAGUGAGAAAUUACUGCUAAUACCGGAUGAUGUCUUCGGACCAAAGAUUUAUCGCCCAGGGAUGAGCCCGCGUAGGAUUAGGUAGUUGGUGGGGUAAUGGCCUACCAAGCCGACGAUCCUUAGCUGGUCUGAGAGGAUGAUCAGCCACACUGGGACUGAGACACGGCCCAGACUCCUACGGGAGGCAGCAGUGGGGAAUAUUGGACAAUGGGCGAAAGCCUGAUCCAGCAAUGCCGCGUGAGUGAUGAAGGCCUUAGGGUUGUAAAGCUCUUUUACCAGGGAUGAUAAUGACAGUACCUGGAGAAUAAGCUCCGGCUAACUCCGUGCCAGCAGCCGCGGUAAUACGGAGGGAGCUAGCGUUGUUCGGAAUUACUGGGCGUAAAGCGCGCGUAGGCGGUUACUCAAGUCAGAGGUGAAAGCCCGGGGCUCAACCCCGGAACUGCCUUUGAAACUAAGUGACUAGAAUCUUGGAGAGGUCAGUGGAAUUCCGAGUGUAGAGGUGAAAUUCGUAGAUAUUCGGAAGAACACCAGUGGCGAAGGCGACUGACUGGACAAGUAUUGACGCUGAGGUGCGAAAGCGUGGGGGGCAAACAGGAUUAGAUACCCUGGUAGUCCACGCCGUAAACGAUGAUAACUAGCUGUCCG
rnacentral:rRNA from 1 species